UUCGGAUCCGUAUAUAUGUUAUAAAAAUUUAAUAUUUCCAAUCUUCAUUUGUGUCAUCGCCAACAACCAUUGUUAACCCUAUCUUCUCUGUGUUAUUGUGAUGUCCGCCUCGUUCUUAUCAACGGCGAUAUACAAGUCAAAAUCCAAUGGUUUCUUAUAUUCUGUUGACGACUCCUACUCCUUCUCUGUGUUCAAUGAUUUUAUCAUCGUUGAUAUACAACUGAAGAUCCGAUUUAAUACAGGUUCCUGUGACAAGCAAGUCAUUGUUUCUUUCUUCAAACUCGUAUUAUGAUUUGAGUGAAAAAAUGAUAUCAAACGGAUCCAUGAUCGAGGCUCUUUUAUAUGCCAAAGAAGCCCAUCGAUUGCGCACGAGACUUUUUCAAAAGAAUUUCAUAUACACAAUUGGGAAACACAACGAUAUCAUUGGUGAUAAUGGGGAAAUAAUUCAGAAACGUGGAUAUGGACUCAAGACUUUUCACAUGCAAACUUCAGUAGCUACCGGAGCUUGGUCAAACAAUAGGGGUUCAAGCGACGUUGAAAGCAUCUAAAGUUAAGUUUUUGCCUCCAUUAAUUAACAAACAUACCCAAUAUAAUCCUACUUAUAGCAAAAGCUAUUACUGUGGUCUGGGAAGGGUGCAAACCUUUCCUCUAUUCCAGGGGGAUGGGAUAGAGAAGCUGCUCUUGCGAGACCCCCUGGCUCUAAAAAUUCUUCUUUUUUUUUUUACUUAUGGAAAAUACAAAGUAUAACUAUACCAGUUAGUGUGGAUUUGGGUUAGAGAUCCACUGAAGUGGGUAGCCUUAGCCGGAUGUGUAAUAAAAGGGUAAGCUCGAGAGUAUCUCUCCUUCUUACAAACACUUUUGCCUCAACUAAUGAGAUGCAGUAUUGAUAUUAUAGAUUAAUGUGGAAACCUUGGCAAGAUGUUUGACAUGACACCUAAUUGCAAAGCUUCUGGAAUCCAAACGUGAUGAACAACUUUUCAGAAACCUGUUAUCAGGGCUUAGACUUUUGCAUGCCUUAUGUGAUAUUGCACCACGCAAUUCCAAAGUUGAGCAGGUAAAAAAAUUAAUUCUUUUUUGUAAAUUAAUUCUUAUUUGAUCAAAUUUUUUUCGUGAUACUGGUUCUUAGUGGAUUUAGACAGGUUAAUGAAGUUUUUAUCAUUUACUUGAUUUGGUUUUUUUUAGAUUUAGUGUGCUCCUAUAUCUGUGACAAUAUGGUAUAUUAGAACAAUUUUUCACUAUUAGUGAUUACCAGUAGUUCUAAAGCUACGAAAAACUCCAUAUUAAUUGAUUAGUUUGACCUUUUUAAAUAAUUUUGAAUUUCAAAGUUAAUAAAUAAAAUAUUUAUCAAAUUCGAAUACUUAUUUUGGUAAAUUGAAUAAAUUACAUUUCUUCUAUAAUUAUCAAUUAUUACUGAUAAUAAAUUGAUUUAACUUAUAAGGGAUUCAAAAUUCAAAAUUGAUUUAACUGAUAACAAAUUCGGAUUUUUAUUUUUGGUAAUCAAACCUGUACCAUUCUUAAAAUUUUAUUUUGGGUAACUUUAAAAAUUUAGCUUUCUCCUAUUUUAGUUUGUAUAACUACUUAAAAUAACUCCCCUACUUUUUAUUAUAUAUACAUGUUCCAAAACCUCAUCCUCAAACACGGUUUAGAUUUCUUAAACAUAUCGAUCAACAAAACAGCUUAUGUAAUGGAACUAGACUUCAGAUUACUUUUCUUGGUAAACGAGUAAUCGAAGCUGAAGUAAUAUCCGGCGGAAAUAUUGGAUCAAGGUUUUUAUUCCGAGGAUUAACAUGAUACCUUCAGACAAAAAAAAUCCCUUUUCAAUUUCAACGCAGACAAUUUCCGUUAUCCGUAUGCUUUGCCAUGACCAUUAACAAAAGUCAAGGACAAUCAUUCUAGAGUUGGUCUAUAUCUAAAAGAUCCUGUUUUCACGCACGGUCAACUGUAUGUUGCUCUAUCAAGAGUUAAGACGAGAGAUAGUGUGAAGAUUUUAAUAUUCGAUGAUGAAGCAAAACCAACAAAUCAAACUGCCAACGUCGUUUACAAAGAGAUUUUUGGCAACUUAUGAUAUAUAAUUUGUUUUUUCUUUCCAUUAAAUUUUAACUUUUGUUCUGUACUAUUGAUGUUACCUGUUGGUUUAUUUGGUAUUUGUUCAACAAGUUCUUAUAUUCUUGUGCUUUUUAUGUUAUUGAUAA